rnacentral:rRNA from 1 species
CGACAGGCUUAACACAUGCAAGUCGAGGGGCAGCACAGGUAGCAAUACCGGGUGGCGACCGGCGCACGGGUGAGUAACGCGUAUGCAACUUACCUAUCAGAGGGGGAUAACCCGGCGAAAGUCGGACUAAUACCGCAUGAAGCAGGGGCCCCGCAUGGGGAUAUUUGCUAAAGAUUCAUCGCUGAUAGAUAGGCAUGCGUUCCAUUAGGCAGUUGGCGGGGUAACGGCCCACCAAACCGACGAUGGAUAGGGGUUCUGAGAGGAAGGUCCCCCACAUUGGUACUGAGACACGGACCAAACUCCUACGGGAGGCAGCAGUGAGGAAUAUUGGCCAAUGGCCGGGAGGCUGAACCAGCCAAGUCGCGUGAGGGACGAAGGUUCUAUGGAUCGUAAACCUCUUUUAUAAGGGAAUAAAGUGCGGGACGUGUCCCGUUUUGUAUGUACCUUAUGAAUAAGGAUCGGCUAACUCCGUGCCAGCAGCCGCGGUAAUACGGAGGAUCCGAGCGUUAUCCGGAUUUAUUGGGUUUAAAGGGUGCGUAGGCGGCCUUUUAAGUCAGCGGUGAAAGUCUGUGGCUCAACCAUAGAAUUGCCGUUGAAACUGGGGGGCUUGAGUAUGUUUGAGGCAGGCGGAAUGCGUGGUGUAGCGGUGAAAUGCAUAGAUAUCACGCAGAACCCCGAUUGCGAAGGCAGCCUGCCAAGCCAUUACUGACGCUGAUGCACGAAAGCGUGGGGAUCAAACAGGAUUAGAUACCCUGGUAGUCCACGCAGUAAACGAUGAUCACUAGCUGUUUGCGAUACACUGUAAGCGGCACAGCGAAAGCGUUAAGUGAUCCACCUGGGGAGUACGCCGGCAACGGUGAAACUCAAAGGAAUUGACGGGGGCCCGCACAAGCGGAGGAACAUGUGGCUUAAUUCGAUGAUACGCGAGGAACCUUACCCGGGUUUGAACGCAUUCGGACCGAGGUGGAAACACCUUUUCUAGCAAUAGCCGUUUGCGAGGUGCUGCAUGGUUGUCGUCAGCUCGUGCCGUGAGGUGUCGGCUUAAGUGCCAUAACGAGCGCAACCCUUGCCACUAGUUACUAACAGGUAAAGCUGAGGACUCUGGUGGGACUGCCAGCGUAAGCUGCGAGGAAGGCGGGGAUGACGUCAAAUCAGCACGGCCCUUACAUCCGGGGCGACACACGUGUUACAAUGGCGUGGACAAAGGGAAGCCACCUGGCGACAGGGAGCGAAUCCCCAAACCAUGUCUCAGUUCGGAUCGGAGUCUGCAACCCGACUCCGUGAAGCUGGAUUCGCUAGUAAUCGCGCAUCAGCCAUGGCGCGGUGAAUACGUUCCCGGGCCUUGUACACACCGCCCGUCAAGCCAUGGGAGCCGGGGGUACCUGAAGUCCGUAACCGCGAGGAUCGGCCUAGGGUAAAACUGGUGACUGGGGCUAAGU